ensembl:rRNA 5S_rRNA 5S ribosomal RNA
UGAUUUUUCCCCAUUGCCCUGCCUUCCCUUCCGAACUCAUUUGAUCUCAGUAGCAAGCAGGGUUGAGCCCGGUUAGUUCUUGGAUGGGAGACCCUUUUUGAUGAACAAAAUUCUGAGAAAGAUGAG